rnacentral:snRNA from 1 species
CGAGCUAGACUGUCACUCGACC